UGAAUGCAAUUUCUGUUGAUAUAAGUGAUGUAAAACUUAUCUUCUUCAACAUCUUGCGUCAUGACCAUUACUUCCUCAUGUGCUUCAAUUUCUUAAAUUCAAAGCUUCAAGUGAUUGA